rfam:TPA: Bos taurus chromosome 10, whole genome shotgun sequence.
UCCCUGGUGGUUCAGUGGCGAAGACUCUGCACUCCCAAUGCAGGUGGCCUAGGUUCAAUCCCUGGUCAGGAAA